ACGCAUACAAUGGAUAAUUGCAUGCGUGAAAACAUCAGUGGAACUAUCAGUAAUUUUUAGAUACUAUUUACGCUAAAAGUCUUUUUAGCUCUGUGAUAUUACAGAUGUAAAUAAAAUUACUCCAAGUGUCAAGAAACUCUUGGCAACAAAAUAUAAGUACUGAUAGAUGCAAACAGCAUAGGUUCAGUUUGAAUGGAAUUCUAUACUUCAGUUUGCGAAAUUAUAGGAAAUAAAAUAUCACAUUCCGCAAGAUAUAAAAAACAUUUGUUUACACAAAUAGUAAUAUAAAGAAUGUCAAAAAGCAAAAACGGAUAGAUUAUAAUAUUGUUCUAAAAUAUUUUGAUUAGUUGUCUAAUCAAAGCAAUUGACGAUUCGAUGGAAAAAAACCGGAGGUGGUAUUACAGUCAUGCAUUCGUGGUUACAUCAAUUGUGAUGGCGUUUUGUAUUAUUUCGGUCAUCGGUCAAAGUGAUUUAGCUGGGUCUUAUUGCGCUUCAAGAUCUCGAGGAUGCUGUCCUGGUCGUCAAGACGAAUGUUCCGUACCUAUUUUAGGUACUUUGUGUUAUUGUGAUGAUUUUUGCAACCAUACUCGAUCUGAAGACUGUUGUCCAGAUUACUGGUCGUACUGUAAGGGUAUCAUAACACCAUUACCAAUUAAACGUAAGCCUAUAAAACUAUUUUAUUCAUAAAUUAAUC